GUCACUUUGGCCGAGUGGUUAAGGCGCGCCCCUGCUAAACGUCAGUGUCUCAUACCGAGUUCAGCAUAACUAGGGCGUUUCUUCGGAAGCGUAGGUUCGAAUCCUGCAGGUGACG